rnacentral:rRNA from 1 species
GUACACUCCUACGGGAGGCAGCAGUGGGGAAUUUUGGACAAUGGGCGAAAGCCUGAUCCAGCCAUGCCGCGUGCAGGAUGAAGGCCUUCGGGUUGUAAACUGCUUUUGUACGGAACGAAACGGCCUUUUCUAAUAAAGAGGGCUAAUGACGGUACCGUAAGAAUAAGCACCGGCUAACUACGUGCCAGCAGCCGCGGUAAUACGUAGGGUGCAAGCGUUAAUCGGAAUUACUGGGCGUAAAGCGUGCGCAGGCGGUUAUGUAAGACAGUUGUGAAAUCCCCGGGCUCAACCUGGGAACUGCAUCUGUGACUGCAUAGCUAGAGUACGGUAGAGGGGGAUGGAAUUCCGCGUGUAGCAGUGAAAUGCGUAGAUAUGCGGAGGAACACCGAUGGCGAAGGCAAUCCCCUGGACCUGUACUGACGCUCAUGCACGAAAGCGUGGGGAGCAAACAGGAUUAGAUACCCCAGUAGUCCCA